rnacentral:rRNA from 1 species
AUUGAACGCUGGCGGCAGGCCUAACACAUGCAAGUCGAACGGUAACAGGAAGCAGCUUGCUGCUUCGCUGACGAGUGGCGGACGGGUGAGUAAUGUCUGGGAAGCUGCCUGAUGGAGGGGGAUAACUACUGGAAACGGUAGCUAAUACCGCAUAAUGUCGCAAGACCAAAGAGGGGGACCUUCUGGCCUCUUGCCAUCGGAUGUGCCCAGAUGGGAUUAGCUUGUUGGUGGGGUAACGGCUCACCAAGGCGACGAUCCCUAGCUGGUCUGAGAGGAUGACCAGCCACACUGGAACUGAGACACGGUCCAGACUCCUACGGGAGGCAGCAGUGGGGAAUAUUGCACAAUGGGCGCAAGCCUGAUGCAGCCAUGCCGCGUGUAUGAAGAAGGCCUUCGGGUUGUAAAGUACUGUCAGCGGGGAGGAAGGGAGUAAAGUUAAUACCUUUGCUCAUUGACGUUACCCGCAGAAGAAGCACCGGCUAACUCCGUG